UCUGUACACGUCGGACGGAAGACGAUUUCAAACUACCCCGCCGUCUCUUGAAUCGAGGAAGAAGGGGGAGAGUGCGGAGAGCGUCUUGCUUUGCCCUCGACGACUCCGUCCGAGCUCGAUGGUGAUGCUCCGCGUGGGUGCCCUUGGCCGCGACCUUCCUGCUCCCCUCCGUCCUCUCUGCCGCCGGGCAACCGAUCCCGCCUUCUCUCGAUUCUCUCGUCGUAAAUCGCCAGAUCUUGAUGAGCGUGGAACUACACGUAGCCGUUGAUCGAUUGAGGAAAUCGGGACUGUUGAGGUCCCAGGGGUUUGUCGGCGGCAAGUGGAUCGAUGCCUACGACGGCAUGACCCUUCAGGUGUGAACAUUGAGGGCGGUCCAUGUGGUAAUUUAAUCGAAAUACAGUCAGGGAAUUGGCCAUUACCAAAAAACCAAGAACCAUGUUGGAAUCUGGAAAGAAAAUCUCACGACCAAACUCAUCUUGUUUCUGAUUCUUGAAGGUACAAAAUCCUGCUACUGGUGAUGUUAUCACUAGUGUUCCAUGCAUGGGCAAGGAUGAGCUUAGAGCAAAUUCACUGCAAGUGACAGGAGCAAGUUUCUGAGGAAAUGGUAAAGAUUAUAUGAUGAUCUACAAUGAGAUUUCAUAUAUCGUAGAUGUUCUAUUGUUGUAAAGGUUUGCAUCUUGAUGCUUUAUAAUUAAUAACAGAUACAAGUGAAACCUAAAGAUGGAUAUACUGUCAAGCAAGGGAACUUGUAGUAUUGAUCAGUAACAGGGCAAUCUCGACUAUUGUCGAUCUGUACUGAUCAGUAAUCAACUAGUAUAUUGUUUUGACGAUCAAAGUACAUUAUUUCGACCGUCAAAUUUGAUCGAAAUUUUACCAUUGGGUUUUCCCUUAGGUUAAUUCAAGCCCCAUUCUGUAGCAUCUCCUCUUUCUCACUGUCGUUCUCUUGAUUUUUUUUAAAUCUAAAUAUGGUCCGAGCUUGUGACCAUAUUUGUCUCGGUUGGAAGAAAACCUAAGUGGCUUCUCGUUCGAUUGUUCCUCCUACUAUUGCUCUCUUUAUCCUCAUGGUAGGGAUUGGUUGUUUUAUGGUAAGCUUUUGGUUGUGUUUCUUCUUCUCGAAUUAAUGUUUUCAGAUAUGAUGGAACAUAGAAGAUGGAAGAAAAUAUAGAAGAGCCAACAUCAACGAGUACUUUCCAAAUUUGCUCGUUGGAUUGCUACAAGUAUAUAAUGGGCCAUCUUCGUUCAUCCUGUAAAUAUUCCACACAACUAUGGCCUUAGACACUGCUACGGAAGCACGUCCUCCGGCUUGGUUCUUUCGGUUGCCGGUGUCCAUAGCGAAAUCGACAACAAAGUGUUCUUCUUGUAUUAAUUAUGCCUUUUCCAGAGUGGCAUCAUUGAGUUUGUCGGGAUACGUAGGGUCUGGCGGGUUACCCUCGACUCUUGCGCUCGCUAAAGAGUUCUAAAGCUUGAAAUUAGUUAGUGUGUUGUGAACUUGGUACUGGUUCGUUUUCAUUAUCAUAUAUAUAAUUUGUUUUGGU